UACGUAGGGUGCGAGCGUUGUCCGGAUUUAUUGGGCGUAAAGGGCUCGUAGGCGGCUUGUCGCGUCGGGAGUGAAAGCCCGCUGCUUAACGGCGGGUUGGCUUUCGGUACGGGCAGGCUGGAGUGCGGCAGGGGAGACUGGAAUUCCUGGUGUAGCGGUGGAAUGCGCAGAUAUCAGGAGGAACACCGGUGGCGAAGGCGGGUCUCUGGGCCGUUACUGACGCUGAGGAGCGAAAGCGUGGGGAGCGAACAGG
rnacentral:rRNA from 1 species